rnacentral:lncRNA from 14 species
UGCACGCCAAGAGGCCGGAGCCGCCCGAAGGGAACCGAGCGGAGCCGAAGCCGCCUNAGGGGGACGGAGCCGCCCGAAGAGAACCGAGCGGAGCCGAAGCCGCCUGAGGGGGACGGAGCCGCCCGGAGGGACCGGAGUGGCUUCCAUAGGGUACCAGGGGAGCCGACAGCUGCCAUUGCCCCCCCCGUUUGCCUCCGCCGAGUGCCGUUACCCCCAUGAUUCGCCUCGGCUCGGUCCGGUACGGUCCGGCCCCGGUUCGGCGGCGCAACCCGCACCCCGACUGGCUGAGACGCCUGUCAGUCACUCUUAGUCCCGCCCCACUUCCGUGCGGCUUCUACACUAGCCUCCCCACUCCUCUGAUUGGCUGCGGCGCCUGUCAAUCACUCUUAGUCCCGCCCAGCUCCGGCAGCGCCCCUCCGCUCCUCUGAUUGGCUGCGGCGCACGUCACCCGCUCGUAGCCACGCCGAAGAGAACCGAGCGGAGACAAAGCCGCCUGAGAGGGACGCAAGGUCCCAAACGCUACUGCGCAUGCGUAAGAUCCCAGACGCUACUGAGCAUGCGCAAGGUUUCAAGCGCUACUGUGUAUGCGCGAGGCACUAGACGCUACUGCGCAUGAGCGGGGCAUCAAAAGCUUAUGCGCAUGCGCAGGCUCCCGUACGGUACUGCGCAUGCGCGAUAUCACAGACGCUACUGCGCAUGCUCGAGACCCGAAACGGUACUGCGCAUGCGCGACAUCCCAGACGCUAAUGCGGUACGGAACGGCUCGGCACAGGUCAGUUCGGCCCAGGGUAGAACCGGGGCACCGAGGGUGUCUGGGGCAGGCCGGCAGCCGGAGGGGGGCAGUCGCGGCGGGGCGGCGCUGCUGUCUCGGCCUGCAGCGGCGACCGUGUCCCCCUUCCCAUCCCUCCUGCCGGAGGCACUCGUGUUCCCCGCUGCCGCUCCGGGUCACGGUCUCCACGGCAACAGCUGCUGCCGCCGCUGCUGCACGUACUCGGCAUCCACCUCCUGCACGGCGCCACCACCGUGGUCUUUGGGUGACAAGACUUCACCUGUACUGUAGCUGAUGGGGGGCUCACAGACCAGAACACACACAGCCUAUUGCACAGAUCGGCUUUCCUGGCAGCCCCGGGCAGCACUUGCAGGGACAGAGGUGUGUACUUACCCACUGAUUCCAAGAAGAUGCCGUAACAUGGCUGUUUC